rnacentral:rRNA from 1 species
AGUGAACGCUGGCGGUAGGCCUAACACAUGCAAGUCGAACGGCAGCACAGUAAGAGCUUGCUCUUACGGGUGGCGGGUGGCGGACGGGUGAGGAAUACAUCGGAAUUUACUUUUUCGUGGGGGAUAACGUAGGGAAACUUACGCUAAUACCGCAUACGACCUACGGGUGAAAGCAGGGGAUCUUCGGACCUUGCGCGAUUGAAUGAGCCGAUGUCGGAUUAGCUAGUUGGCGGGGUAAAGGCCCACCAAGGCGACGAUCCGUAGCUGGUCUGAGAGGAUGAUCAGCCACACUGGAACUGAGACACGGUCCAGACUCCUACGGGAGGCAGCAGUGGGGAAUAUUGGACAAUGGGCGCAAGCCUGAUCCAGCCAUACCGCGUGGGUGAAGAAGGCCUUCGGGUUGUAAAGCCCUUUUGUUGGGAAAGAAAAGCAGCAGGUUAAUACCCCGCUGUUCUGACGGUACCCAAAGAAUAAGCACCGGCUAACUUCGUG